ACAACCACUUCACAUCUAAUGUGGUAUUGACUGAUGUGGACUGCACUUGUGGUGCUCACCCCACUCAGCUGAAAUGUAUAGGCCAGAGAAGCCAACCAUGGCAGCAGACUCACAGAGUGUUAUACAAUGCUAAACCAGUCUGUAGCCGGUUGGAAUCUGUGUCAGUGGACCCCCCGUUCAUCAAAACUAUAGA
rnacentral:misc_RNA from 1 species